UACGUAGGGGGCAAGCGUUGUCCGGAAUCAUUGGGCGUAAAGAGCGUGUAGGAGGCCAGAAAAGUCCGCUGUGAAAACUCGAGGCUCAACUUCGAGCUGUCGGUGGAAACUUUCUGGCUAGAGUCCGGAAGAGGAGAAUGGAAUUCCUGGUGUAGCGGUGAAAUGCGCAGAUAUCAGGAAGAACACCCGUGGCGAAGGCGGUUCUCUGGGACGGUACUGACGCUGAGACGCGAAAGCGUGGGGAGCGAACAGG
rnacentral:rRNA from 1 species